UAAGGAAUAUUGGUCAAUGGACGAAAGUCUGAACCAGCCAUCCCGCGUGCAGGAAGAAGGGGCUCUGCCUUGUAAACUGCUUUUGAAUGGGACGAAAGAGCUAUAUGCGUAUAGUGUUGACGGUACCAUUAGAAUAAGCACCGGCUAACUCCGUGCCAGCAGCCGCGGUAAUACGGAGGGUGCAAGCGUUAUCCGGAAUCACUGGGUUUAAAGGGUGCGUAGGCGGUUUGAUAAGUCAGUUGUGAAAUUCUCCGGCUUAACCGGGUGGACUGCGAUUGAUACUGUUGGACUUGAAUUAGGUUGAGGUAGGCGGAAUGUGGCAUGUAGCGGUGAAAUGCAUAGAUAUGCCAUAGAACACCGAUUGCGAAGGCAGCUUGCUGGACCUAUAUUGACGCUGAGGCACGAAAGCGUGGGGAGCAAACAGGAUUAGAUACCCUUGUAGUCCCUGAGCGGGCUGGCAAGGCGCAU
rnacentral:rRNA from 1 species